rnacentral:rRNA from 1 species
GGGAUUGAGAUAUGGCCCAUAUUCCUACGGGAAGCAGCAGUGAGGAAUUUUUCACAAUGGACGAAAGUCUGAUGGAGCAAUACCACGUGAACGAUGAAGGUCUUCUGAUUGUAAAGUUCUUUUAUUUAGGAAAAAAAGCGUGCUAGGAAAUGAGYGCGCCUUGAUGGUACUAAUUGAAUAAGUGACAGCUAACUAUGUGCCAGCAG